rnacentral:rRNA from 1 species
GGGGAAAAAUUAAUAAAUUAUAAAUAAUAAAAUAAAUUUUAAAAUUAAAAAUAAAUAAUGGGGGUUAAAGUAUUUUUAAUGGAAAAAAUUUAAAAUUUUAUAGUGAAUUAAGUAUUGUAAAAGAAAUUUGAAAUAAUUGAAAAAUAAAAUAGGGGGAAAGAAAAUUUAGUUUAUUGUAUCUUGUGUAUCAGAGUUUAUUAAAUAAUUAUUUUAAAUAAAAAAAUCUCGAAUUUAAAAGAGUUAAUUAAUUAAAAAAGUUAAUGUAACAUAAUUAUUUUAAAUAAUUAGUUAGAAAUGAAAUGUUAAACGUUUUUAAAUAUAUCUAGUUAUUUUAGAAAAAAAUUUAAUUUUAAAUUUAAAUAAUUUUAUAAUUUAUUUAAAAAUUAUAAAAAUUUAAAUUUUAUAUUUUAAGGGAUAAGCUUUGAAUUAAAAAUUUAUAAUAAUAAUAAAUUAAAAUUAAAAUUUUUAAAAUUUAUAUUGUUUAAAAAUUAUAAUUUAUUAUAAAAAAUUUUAAUAAAAAUAAAAUUUAAUUAAAAAUUUAAAUUUUUAUAAAAUAAAAAUUUUUAAUAAAAAAAAAUUAAUAAUAAUGAUAAAAUUAGUAUAAUAUUAUAAAUAAAAAUAUAUUAAAAAAUAAUUAAAUUUAAAUUAAAGGAAUUCGGCAAAAAGAUAUAUUCACUUGUUUAUCAAAAACAUGUCUUUUUGAAUAAAUAAUUUAAAGUCUAAUCUGCCCACUGAUAAAUAUUAAAGGGCUGCAGUAUAUUGACUGUACAAAGGUAGCAUAAUCAUUAGUUUUUUAAUUGAAAACUUGUAUGAAAGAUUGGAUGAAAUAUAAACUGUCUCUAAUUUAUUAUUAGAAAUUUAUUUUUUAGUUAAAAAGCUAAAAUAAUUUUAAAAGACGAGAAGACCCUAUAGAGUUUUAUAUUUAAAUUUAUUUAAAAAAUAUAUAAAAUUUUUAUUUUUAAAUAAAUUUAAAUAUUGUGUUGGGGUGACAGAAAAAUUAAAUAAACUUUUUUUAAAAAUUAAACAUAAAUAAAUGAUUAAAUGAUCCAUUAAUAAUGAUUAUAAGAAAAAAUUACCUUAGGGAUAACAGCGUAAUAUUUUUUUUUAGUUCAAAUAAAAAAAAAAGUUUGCGACCUCGAUGUUGGAUUAAGAUAAAAUUUAAAUGCAAAAGUUUAAAAUUUUGAUCUGUUCGAUCAUUAAAAUCUUACAUGAUCUGAGUUCAAACCGGUGUAAGCCAGGUUGGUUUCUAUCUUUAGAGAGUAAGAAUAUUUUAGUACGAAAGGAUCAAAUAUUGAAAAUAAUUUUUAUAAUUAGAAUAUUAUUAAUAAAAUUGAAUAU